CCUUAAAGGUAAUUUUAACCUAUCCUAUUUGGCGGCCUUCUAUCUAAUUAAAGGAACUUGUUGUUUAACCGAUGAUACGCGUUACGUUUAACUUAAACCUAAUUUUUAUACCUCCGUCCAAAGGAUAAAAUUAAAUAUUUUAUCCUAUCCAUACUCCUUCAAGUAACAAUGUCAGGUCAAGGUGAAGUUUAUGUUUAAGUUUCAAUGAGUUAUCAAUAAAUAUAAUUUAUGGACUUUUGCUAAAAACCAAAAAUCGAAUUAAGAUUCAAAAGUAUUUUCAACUCAGUACACUAAAAAGAAUAAGCAAAAAAGGUGUACAUAUCGCCCGUCGCCCUCGUCUAAAGAUGAGGUAAGUCGUAACACAGUUAAUAUACUGGAAAGUGUAUUAGGUGUAUUUCUUCUUAACUUUUAGUAUUUCACUUACACUGAAAAGAUCUCAUUUUCUUCCAUUCCAAUUAAUAAAUAAAAUCUUUGCAUUUUACCUAUCUAAUUUAAACCUUCAAAAACUGAAAAGGAUCAUCAUAAUAUUUUUAAAGUAAAUCUAUGUACCUUUUGUAUCAGGGAUUUUCAAAUCAUAUUGUAUAUUUCAAACUCCCGAAACAAGACGAACUUCAUAUCCUAGUAAAAGUUAUGACAUAAACAAUAUAAGUUUUAUAAAGUUGAGAUAUUCUUUUCAAGUCUUUCCUUAUCUGGUUCACUCCCCCCCCACAAAACAAUACAAAGAAUAAGCUUAGUAUCAAGGUUUAUCACCUCCCCUUCUCUUUAACCUAGAUUUAAUAGUAUUCACAUUGUUUUUAAACUCUACCUUUUCAUUACCUGAACAAAUCCCUAAGUGAUUUUUCUUCUCCCCUUACAAUGAAAAUAUUAGUAAAAUUUCCUCUUUUCUCAUUCUUUAAACCCUUUCCCCCCACGUUUUCCACAUUGAAACCAUGAACUAGGCCCUCAAUCAAUUGACUGUUUACCAAAAACAUAGCUAAUAGAUUUCAAUUACUAGUAGUACCUGCUCCA
rnacentral:rRNA from 1 species